ensembl:rRNA 5S_rRNA 5S ribosomal RNA
GUCUACGGCCAUGCCACCCUGAACAAGCCCAAUUCCAUUUGAUCUCAGAACCUAGGCAGAGUCGGGCCUGGUUAGUACUUGAAUGGGAGACCACCUAGGAAGACCAGGUGCUGCAGGCG